CACGUAGGGGGCAAGCGUUGUCCGGAAUCAUUGGGCGUAAAGAGCUCGUAGGCGGCUCAGUAAGUCGGGUGUGAAACCUCCAGGCUCAACCUGGAGACGCCACCCGAUACUGCUGUGGCUAGAGUCCAGUAGGGGAGUGUGGAAUUCCCGGUGUAGCGGUGAAAUGCGCAGAUAUCGGGAGGAACACCAGCGGCGAAGGCGGCCAACUGGACGAAUACUGACGCUGAGACUCGAAAGCGUGGGGAGCAAACAGG
rnacentral:rRNA from 1 species